rnacentral:rRNA from 1 species
CGCAGUAAACAGCACUAGAAACUUUGCUUAUGAGGAUUUAAUCAAAUCACUAAAGCCCAGGGUGCGGGCAUAGCGACGAGGAGAGGACGCGGCGACCUAGAGGAGGAAGGAGGGUGAGUCCUAUGUUCCCCUUCUUCCGUCCCCAGAUCCACGAUGAGGCCGCGCCGCCGUCUCGGUUCGUGUGGGUAGAGAGAAGUUCUACCAGUUCUUCUUCUAUGUGCGUCGAUCGUGGCCGUUGGGUCCGUUGUGGGUUUACUCGAGGAGGAACUUAGACUAGGAGAGCAGAGAGUUUGGAGUUAGAGAGAUUAAUGAGACUUAGUGACGUUCGACGUGUAUAUUAAAGAAACUUAGUAGGGUUAAAGGAAGGGGAGCUAAAGUGAAUCCAGUGGCAGAUAAGUAGAGUAAUGGUUUAUACGAUCGUAUUUGUUAAAUGACUUAACAACAAAUGUCAAAUUUUUUACAUCAUAUCCAUCGAUACACGUUCCUGUCAGUUUUAACAUCACGGACCGUCUAAUAGUAUAUCAUUUAAGACCAUAUCGAAGAAAACAAACAUACUAACAUAGACGAGUGAAGUAGAACAUUUUUAUUCUUCUCUCUCUUCCAUAUGACUAAUUACGGUUACUAGGUCUUAAACUAGAAAAAAAAAACAAGAAAUCGAACCGGGCGGGUCGUUAAACAAACAUCGAGGCGGUGACGACUCUGGGGAUCACAAGGGUCGGUGCGGAGCGGGUGAGCGCGACACACACGGAGCCUCUACCGGCCGCGCAGUAAAAAACUAUCCUACCAAAGGGUCGAAGCCAGCUGUAGGUUCAUGAUGUGACCUAUAGGGUUCCUAGAUCCCGGUAGUUCUUAGUAUGGCAAGUGUAGUCUCGCAGUCAAACACGUCGAUAAUGUACUUCCUGCCGGACAUCAACACCGGAAAUGGUAAUUCACGUGAAUAUGUGUCGUAGAACUGUUUCAUGACCUCCUUCGACGACGAUGUAAAAUAGGAGUAUAUUUCAAACAAGCCCACCUUACGGGUUUCAUAGGACCCAAAACGGAGUGCUCCGUUUUCUGGCUCAUAGGUAAAGAACUUCAUAAAAUGUUGGGUCUUGUCCGACGAUUGGGUCCAUUCUAACACCUAGGCUCGUAGUGCUUUAUGAGGCGUUUUCAGGACGGAAAGUUGAUACUGGUCUCGCACAUACCUAAAGCUCUCAUAAAAUUCUUCAUACCCAAGUUCAUAAGGCUUCGUUUGAUUGAUCCAAACAGUACCACUUCGGGACGUCUCAGUCGGUCAGGUUGACCGUACUACUCCGGAUCAUAAACUUAAAUGAAAGUCGGACAUGAUUGUUUGUCACUAUGACGUAAGAAUUCUUAGUCGUGGGGGACGUAUGACCCGACCGAGACGGAACCGUUUACCAACCUUUUUACCGUUUCGACAAUCGAUCCAAAGGUCAUAAGAGUUAGUUCUAACAUCAUCUUAAAGACCUACAACGUACAACAAGAAACAGCUUAGAGACUUGACGUAAAAGUCUGAGCGAUAAUUAUUUUAAGACGCCGAGUGGUAGAGUACGCGUCUUUAAGAGG